rnacentral:rRNA from 1 species
AUUGAACGCUGGCGGCAUGCCUUACACAUGCAAGUCGAACGGCAGCACGGGUGCUUGCACCUGGUGGCGAGUGGCGAACGGGUGAGUAAUACAUCUGAACAUGUCCUGUAGUGGGGGAUAGCCCGGCGAAAGCCGGAUUAAUACCGCAUACGAUCUACGGAUGAAAGCGGGGGACCUUCGGGCCUCGCGCUAUAGGGUUGGCCGAUGGCUGAUUAGCUAGUUGGUGGGGUAAAGGCCUACCAAGGCGACGAUCAGUAGCUGGUCUGAGAGGACGACCAGCCACACUGGGACUGAGACACGGCCCAGACUCCUACGGGAGGCAGCAGUGGGGAAUUUUGGACAAUGGGCGAAAGCCUGAUCCAGCAAUGCCGCGUGUGUGAAGAAGGCCUUCGGGUUGUAAAGCACUUUUGUCAGGAAAGAAAUCCUUGGCACUAAUACGGUCGGGGGACGACGGUACCGGAAGAAUAAGCACCGGCUAACUACGUG